AAAAAUGUUUCAAGUAGUGAAUAUAUGGUUGGAUCCGGAUUGGUUGCUUGGCUUGAAAAAAUGUUUCAAGUAGUGAAUAAAUGGUUGGAUCCGGAUUGGUUGCUUGGCUUGAAAAAAUGAUUCAAGUAGUAAAUAAAUGGUUGAGUCCGGAUUGGUUGCUUGGCUUGAAAAAAUGUUUCAAGUAGUAAAUAAAUGAUUGAG
rnacentral:lncRNA from 1 species